ensembl:misc_RNA
ACAGCUUUGGACAAAAGUCUAUAGCCAGUGCAUUUGAAACUCCCCUUGCACAAGGGCUGACUGUAGCUGGGGGAAGACAGUUGACUCAUUUGCUCUCUCCUUUCACACAGUCAGCUGGCCCUCUUCUCAGGUGUAGAUCACCUAUUAUCAUUUCACCUGUUUUGAUUCUCUGAUGAGGAAAAUCCCAGGACUUAUCAGCUGGGAUAGGCCUCAUUUACAAGACAGCUCU